GGGUCAGCCUGGCGGACGUUCUCUUUUGGAUUCUGAGCUCCCUGAAUCCUUCAUCUGCUUCACUCAGGCCUCAGCUGCCACCCUCCCUCAGCCAGGGGGUAGCAGCCCAGGUGGUUUCUAUACCUCCCCCCAGUGCACGCGGAGUGCGCUAUUUAUUUAUUUAUUUUGUCGGAAGGUGCCCAAGCAUUUAGCAGUUACCAAUGAUCAACAGUACAUUUUGCAAACAAGUCAUAAAUUUUAACGGCAAUUUGUCUACGAAUUGUGACCUUUUGAUGAUGUAUUUGAUUUUUCCCGAGAAGUUGAACUUCUUUGUCAUCCAAGUUUGAUUCAUAUUUUCAUUUUUUUAAAAGCAAAUGGUCUGUAUAACACAUUGCAACAUCGAGCUGAUUGCAAAUGCUGUUUUGGUGGCAGUCAAUAGUUUUAAUUUAUGCCAUUCCAGAUACACAGGGAGCCCCCGGCCCACUUCGCCAACAGCUGCAAAUCCACACGUCUCUGCCCCUGACAUUUUAUACUCCGUCGUUUUCUUAAUGUUGUAUGGAUUUUUUUAAAAGGAAGGAUAAUGUAUGCUGUGCCUUUUAAUGAUGCACCUUUAACCAAAAAUAAAACACGUCCUGAUUUCUCCAGAUUCCCGCCUUUUGGCCUGAGUGUGGCAGAUCAUUUUCCUACGGAGGUUGGUUGUCGGCUCUUUGAAUCCCCCAACUGGUGCAUCACUGUGUGUUAAUUACCUCAGGACGAGAGAGGCACAGAAGCAAUCAUCUUUGUUUGUUAACACACCCUCGCUGUGCCACCACUCCCCAUAAAUAAAACAUAACUGAGAUUACAAGGUCAUGUUCACGGGGACUCUAGACCUUGGUAGCCCCCCUAGCAGAAUGCACAAGCCAUCCCUGGCAGCCAGCUUCUACUGCGAUGCCGUGUGGCCAGGAUAGCUUCUCAUUCCUCAGUCACCUCAUGCCACCAGGUCCCGGCCGUGUCUGCAGUUCCUGGGUAUUUUUACGCCAGCAUGGCCGGCAGGAAGCUGACUUUGUCUCUCCUCUAACUCAGAAGACGUAGGCUUGUAAAUACACAAUGGUAUUUUUAGCGACUUGGAAGGGGCUGGACUAGCAGAAUGGAAAGCCGAGAUCAAGAAUUUUGCAUGCAUGGGAGUUCCCAUUGUGGUGCAGCGGAAACGAACCCAACUGGUAUCCAUGAGGACGCAGGUUUGAUCCCUGGCUUCACUCAGUGGGUUAAGGAUCCAGUGUUGCCGGGAGAAGUGGUAUAGGUCGCAGACACGGCUUGGAUCCUGCAUUGCUGUGGCUGUGGCGUAGGUGGGCAGCUGUAGCUCCGAUUCAGCCCCUAGCCUGGGAACUUCCAUAUGCUGUGAAUGCAGAAAGAAUUUUGCAUGCAUGGGUGGUGGGACUAUCUGAAGUGAUCCACAGACAGUCAUGCAUUUAUUUAUGCAUGCCAGUGUUUUGUGCAAUGCACACACAAAUAAGAAAAAAGAUAGAGAUGGCUGAUAAAAAAUAUGUUCAAUAAAUUAGAACAAUAUCAACAGUAUGAUUAAGACUUUAGAUACAAGACUGAGGAUGAAAACAUUCAAGGCACAGGGUCCUAAAAUUUGAUUUGCAAGUUGAGCUCUGAGCUUCCUGGUGGUCAAAGAGAAAAGGGAUACAAGUGAGUACCAUCAUCAGUGUGAAAAAGACCAUUGUGAUGUUUCAGGGGAAGCAGAGGGUGUCUUGACACUUUAAUCUGAAAGCAGUUUCUUGAAUGAAUCCUCGUACGGAGUUGUGUUUUUCAGUCCAGUGCCCACUGGUGGGAGGUAAGGGACUCCUGUAAAGUCACAAACAUGUAAAAUGCACAUUCUGGGUCCAAUUUUUAGCAGUGAAUGAUGCACAACCCCAUUGAUUUUUGUUGUGAUGUGUGGCUGAUGUUUGCUCAGCAGUAACUCACUGACUUGUUAAAAGUUAACAACUAUCGUUUUUAAGGAUUAAAUUUAGUGCAUUAUUGGAGUUUACUGAACUCCUUUUCAUCAAGGAUUCUUGACUUCUUGCCAAUAUUGCGAAGUUCUCUAGAUCAAGAGCGUAGGUAAAGUGUUGAAAUGUCCUUAAUUUGGGGAAAGCACACUUUGUUAUCAGUGAAUCAUCAGCAUGGUCUUGAAUAUAGGUGGUUUUCAACGGUGUCUAGGUUCACAUUGGUACCUACAUUAGUAGAACAGCUUUUAAUGUGGUUAAUCUUUUUCUGCUCCCUGGCAGUUGUUUGGAAAAUGGGAAUGGAUUGGGUAAUGAACUUGAGGAUCAUCCGCUCCUCCUGAGUGCGCCUCGGACAAAAGGGUUGAGAAUCACUUAUAACAGGGAACGAUUUGCAGCAACAUCCAUGGAACUAGAGACUCGCAUACUAAGUGAAGCAAGUCAGAAAGAGAAAGACAAAUACCAUGUGAUAUUGCUUAUAUCUAGAAUGUAUAUAUGGCACAAAUGAACCUUUCCACAGAAAAGGCAAUCAUGGACUUGGAGAACAGAUUCAUGGUUGCCGGGGCGGGGGGGUCAGGGGAGUAGGAUGGAGUGGGAACUUGGGGUUAAUAGAUGUAGCCUCUUGCCUUUGGAAUGGAUAGGCAUUGAGAUCUUGCUGUGUAGCACUGGGAACUAUGUCUAGUCACUUAUGAUGGAGCAUGAUUGUGUGAGAAAAAAGAAUGUAUACGUGUAUGUCUGACUGGGUCACUAUGCUGUACAGUAGAAAAUUGACAGAAUAUUAUAAACCAUCUAUAAUGAACAAAAAUCACUAUAUUAAAAAAAAAUAAAAGGGGAGUUCCUGUUGUGGCGCAGUGGAAACGAAUCCAACUGGGAACCAUGAGGUUUUUGGGUUCAAUCUCUGGCCUCGCUCAGUGGGUUGAGGACCACAGCUCAUGGUGAUGCCAGAUCCUGAACCCACGGAGCGAGGCCAGGGAUCGAAUGCCCGUCCUCAGGGACACUAGUUGAGUUCUUAACUCACUAACCCGCAGCAGGAACCCCACCAGGUUCUCAGUUUAAAGUGAGGAGUGGACUCAGUGGGCAGAGCCCGUGCCUGACAUCAGGGACAUGUUGGGACUGUACCUUCUUCACCAGCCCUGCAGUCAGGAUGGAGACGGGUGCAAAAUGCCCCUUAAGGAUUUACUGCCUCCUGUGCUCUAUUUCCUGUGCCCCAGUUUCUACUUUUUAGAAUUAUCGCUGUUUUUAUAAAAUGACGGAUGUUCAUGACUUUAAAAAUUUAAGCAAUAUGCAAACGUACAAAAGGGAAAGAAAAAAAAAAAAA
ensembl:lncRNA